AUAUAUAUAUUCAACCUAUAUAUAUUUAUUGUACUCAAUAUAUAUAUCAAGAGGAAAUGCAGGUAUUGGUCUUGUUCCCUCUAAUCAAUUUAUGUAUUUGAGUUGUUUCCAUUUUAGAGAAAAUUACAAAAACAAAAGACCAGAAGGGUUAAAAUAUCACAGAACGUUCUGUCCUCAUUACUUGUGUAAAGUCCCCACUGCAUCAAAGGGACAGCAUGUUAAAUCAAUAGAGACUUGAGCUGUUAAUUUCCAAAAAGGAAGAGAUGAUUGAACUAAAAUAGCCCAUGUCGAGUCUCUGCCCACUGGGAAUGGAAGUCCCUUUAUUUUCAGGUCUUUCUACAAUUAGGUCUGGUUUUCAAACACAGGUCUGGCAGACUCCAAAACCCAUGAUCUCCACAUUGCCACACUGCUCCCAGUGGAAAAGACCUGGUUUCUGCCAGGACGUGUUCACAGUCUAGUCAGGAAGACACACACAGGAAACAAGCACGAGGGCCAGAGGGAGACUCUGGCUAUGGGAGCAGGCAGGGGAAUCUUGCUCCCAAAACCUUUAUAAUCUCUGCCUCAACUGAGCUUGCUUCAGCUUUCAAGAAACCUGGGGUAGAACCCAGAGGGGUUUGAGCAGGCAAUGGCACUCCAGUGAGGAUUCCUGGCCAAAGUGAGUACGACUGGGUCUGGGACAUAAAUAGCUGCUUCAUCAUCAAAGCCUCCUGCCCAAGAGAAGGCUUUCAUGAGAACUCAGGCUCAUUGUGUGAAAAUUCAGAUGACUGAACUAUAAUUAGCCCGAUUAGUCAACAUUUUAAUUCAUAGGAUUCUGGCUUUGAUGUGUUCCUUUCUCACAGAAUCAAAGCUAAUAAUUCUGGAAACAUAAUUGGGAGCUGAGUGCCAGCUUGAAGCUUGGGGAGCUCCCUCACCUCUUUGGCAAGCUCUGCUUCCAAGACAGCCGCUUCCUGGCCAUGAAUGAACCUGGCCCAGGCACCUCCACCUUGCCCUUUAGCUCCUUGCUUCCCAGGACAUUUCCUGAGCACCUUUUCUCUGUGAGUCAAGAUCACUAGAAUUAGGUUCUAAAUUUAGUGGUUGACAGUAAACUGUGAUGUCAGUAUCUCUAAAGCCUGAGCCCAUACAUUAUAGGUGCUCAAUAAACCUUUUUUUGGAUGUUGCUAGACAAACAAUGGAGCAGAUCAUUGACUGCUUAUCCAAGAA